rnacentral:lncRNA from 1 species
CAGGGAGAGGAGAGGACUUUUCUCCCGUGAGCUUCCCCCCCCGGUAGGCUCCCAACCACCUCCACCAAGGAAAAGCUGAACCAGGUACCUUAGAACAUGAGUCCUUUGCCAGCUCGUGGUGAGGUGGGUCGAAGCCAGUUUGGGCAAGUGGGCUCCUGGCCCCCCCCCCGGCAGGUGAGUGCAGAGGAGCAGUGAUUUCCAUCAGCGGCCUCCCCCAGACUGGGGGGCUGGUGUGUUUCCUCUGCGGAGCCUGGAAGGGGUCUUUGAUUGCUUCCCGGCAGCUCUUCUGGCCGAAAGAGUUCCUUUAUUUAUUUAUUUUGUAUUAUUUUUUGUAAGUGCUUCAGUAUUACAGAGGAGGGCAGCAGAGAGAGGCGGCAGGGACAUCCUUAAAUAAUUUUCAUUUCUCAAAAUCUGCCUUUUCCUCUUCUCUCUAAGUCCAGAGGAGAGAUCCUUGGGGGGGUGGGAGGCACAUCUGCACUGCAAAUAAAAAUAAUAAUUACAACCACCAACCAAACAACAACAAAAAGUAACAGCUAAGAAAAAAAACCACUUUAAAUCAAGGACUUUGGAAAUCAGAGAUCACAGAAAUUGUACUAUUAAUAAGGAGGGAAAAAAAAAAAAAGAGAGACAAGAAAUCCAGCGACCAUGGGCCAGCCUGGCUUCCUAGCGUGUACUUUCUGUUCUCUCUCCUUUUUCCCAAGGUAAUUGCAGUCUGCCGAGAGGGAGUUAAAUGGGAUUAAAAGAUCUGUGUAAGCAAAAGGACCCAGAAGAGAAGGAGGAAGGAGUGAGCCGUCCGGGCCAGGGGGUGUCUUUGACACAGCUGAGCCCCUUAGAGAGGCAGAGAGCUGAGCUCCUGGGAAGGAUGUACCCACAAACCGGCCUGUCCCCCUUUUUCUGAUGGAUUGCCGCAAAAAUUGCCCGAAAGAGACAAUGCACUAAACGUGAUGGAGCCGGAAUCAGAGCCGGUCUCCAGACUCAGAGCUACAGCAGCAGGCAGGGGGGGAAUCUGCUUUCUCUGGACUGUAUUAUGUUUUACCUGGUUCCUGGGAUUCACACAGGGAAAUUCUGAAGGUAAAUUACACUUUCUUUUUUUCUUUUUCCCCCCACUCCUCUUUUAACCAAAGCUAAAACCAAGUGCCUUGAUAUCGGUUUAGGACCAUCAUUUAA